AUUGAACGCUGGCGGCAUGCCUUACACAUGCAAGUCGAACGGUAACAGGCCGNCAAGGUGCUGACGAGUGGCGAACGGGUGAGUAAUGUAUCGGAACGUGCCCAGUCGUGGGGGAUAACUGCUCGAAAGAGCAGCUAAUACCGCAUACGACCUGAGGGUGAAAGCGGGGGACCGUAAGGCCUCGCGCGAUUGGAGCGGCCGAUAUCAGAUUAGGUAGUUGGUGAGGUAAAGGCUCACCAAGCCGACGAUCUGUAGCUGGUCUGAGAGGACGACCAGCCACACUGGGACUGAGACACGGCCCAG
rnacentral:rRNA from 1 species